CCUUUCUAGCGAUCGUGCUCACUUCUAGCGUAGAAUCGCGCGCUUUAGUUCAAAAGAACCCUUAGAACGCAUUGUAAUACGCCUCAGCCGUAGUAACUUCUAAUCGUGCGUCACGCGAAAAUCCGUUUCAGGCUAAUUACUUCCAGUGCAGUGUUUGUUUAUCCCCGGUUUAUGUGACUCCAGGAUUCAGAUUGAAGUCUUGAUUAAGCGAAUCCUGACGAGCAUCGACGCGUCGUUUUUUUUUGUUUCUCCUAAGUUCCGUAGUGUUUGCACUCUUCCUGUGUCCAAAUUUCACUUCGCCACUAAACUUGCGUUCAGUUAAGUUUGCCAACUUUAAGUUGUGUUUUUUUUCGGCUUAUCCUCAAGUGCUAAAAAGUGUGUCCAUAAAAGUGUGUUUACCGCAGUCGUGGUCGAUCCCCAAGUGUCAGAAUCCUGCUGCCAUUCGUCGUUCGAUACUGAUGUAAAUACCAGUGAUGAUGUCAUCCGAUGUCCCAUUGUUCCCGACCGGGGAAGUUGUUGUCAGCUACCACUAAAAAAAGCUCGCCAAACAUCAUCGUCAUCGAAUAUUAAUCAACGGCACAUGGUUUUGGGACAGUGUAAUUCACUCACUUAAUCUGCAAACCAGGUGAAGGAAGAAGAAAAAAAAGUGUUUUAAAAAAAUCAACACAUCGGAGAGACCGGACCAACAAUCGGACCAGCAACAACACCACCAUGAUAAGAGUAAACUCACAAUCGUUCAGUUUGUCCAGCACGCUGAAAAAGAAGAACAACCAUGAGGACGAGCAGCAGAUUAUCAACAAAUAUAAUUCG